rnacentral:rRNA from 1 species
AUUGAACGCUGGCGGCAGGCUUAACACAUGCAAGUCGAGCGGAGCGAGGGUGCUUGCACCUUAGCUUAGCGGCGGACGGGUGAGUAAUGCUUAGGAAUCUGCCUAUUAGUGGGGGACAACAUUCCGAAAGGGAUGCUAAUACCGCAUACGCCCUACGGGGGAAAGCAGGGGAUCUUCGGACCUUGCGCUAAUAGAUGAGCCUAAGUCGGAUUAGCUAGUUGGUGGGGUAAAGGCCUACCAAGGCGACGAUCUGUAGCGGGUCUGAGAGGAUGAUCCGCCACACUGGGACUGAGACACGGCCCAGACUCCUACGGGAGGCAGCAGUGGGGAAUAUUGGACAAUGGGGGGAACCCUGAUCCAGCCAUGCCGCGUGUGUGAAGAAGGCCUUUUGGUUGUAAAGCACUUUAAGCGAGGAGGAGGCGCUCUAGGUUAAUACCCUAGAUGCGUGGACGUACUCGCAGA